rnacentral:rRNA from 1 species
UACAGAGGGUGCGAGCGUUGUUCGGAAUUACUGGGCGUAAAGCGCGCGCAGGCGGCCUUUUAAGUCUCGUGGUGAAAUGCCGGGGCUCAACCCCGUGCCCGCCGGAGAUACUGGGAGGCUGGAGACGAGUAGAGGCAAGCGGAAUUCCGGGUGUAGCGGUGGAAUGCGUAGAGAUCCGGAAGAACACCGGAGGCGAAGGCGGCCUGCUGGGCUCGGUCUGACGCUGAGGCGCGAAAGCGUGGGGAGCGAACAGG